GGCGUAAAGGGGGCGUAGGCGGUCUUUCAAGUCAGGAGGGAAAGGCUACGGCUCAACCUGAGUAAGGUCUUGAAACUGGGGGACGUGAGGGCAGGAGGGGAGAGGGGAAGUGCGAGUGUAGCGGUGAAAGGCGUGGAUAGUAGGAGGAGCACCAGUCGCGAAGGCGGCUCUCUGGACUGUAACGGACGCUGAGGCACGAAAGCGUGGGGAGCAAACAGGAGUAGAUACCCUGGUAGUCCACGCUGUAAACGAUGAGUACUAGGUGUCGGGGGUUACCCCCUUCGGUGCCGCAGCUAACGCAUGAAGUACUCCGCCUGGGAAGUACGCUCGCAAGAGUGAAACGCAAAGGAAUUGACGGGGACCCGCACAAGUAGCGGAGCAUGUGGUUUAAUUCGAAGCAACGCGAAGAACCGUACCUAAGCUUGACAUCCCAAUGACAUCUCCUUAAUCGGAGAGUUACCUUCGGGG
rnacentral:rRNA from 1 species